UAAAUACCUCCUCCUGCGCAUAUCCUCCUACCAAACCAAGAGGAAACCUAGCCGCGUUCUCCUCUGUGGCACGCAACCUUUGUCCCCUCUAGAUAUAGAACAACACGCCUCGUCCACCCAUACCUCUAGAAGUCUAGAUCUAGGCCUGACCCGUAGUUUUCUGAUCGUGUUCGCUUCGAUCUCGGGGUAAGCUGAGUUCGGCGUCCAUGAUUUGUUCCUAUCACCCGUUUGUUAUCUGAUUCUCAGGUUUCUCCUUCUGAUCGGCGAGUUGGGGCUUGCGGCGAUCUUGGAGCAUAGACGGGAGGCAAGCUGGAUCUGCGCACGGAAGCUUCCGAUCUGACCGGCUGGCGUCUCAGAUCUGCUGCUGGUCUGAUGCUAAACGGCGGAUCUAGAUGUUCCCGGCGGUCUCAGUAUGUUGCAGCGGCGGGCCCGGAGGGGCUCUCUCCGGCGAGUACGUGGGAUCCCGUCUGCUCCUCCACCCCGUGCGACGACGGCCGACGGCUCUUUGUGUUGAUAAUUAUUCGAUGCUAUGUCGAUAAUUAUUAGAUCUAAGAGAUCGGAGGUGACGUAAGGUAAGAAGAUGUAGCAAGCGAGGUGCUUGUGGAGAGGUCGGAGGAGAGUGAAAAAAAAGAGAUGUGAACAUCUAGAGGCCUUUGCCAUGUUGGGUGCGCUCGCAUGGCAGGCCGCCACCAUAAUAAAGAUGUUUUUUUGUCUCGGGGGGAGAUCGCACGGGGGUUAUCUUGUUUUAGCCCCGGGUUCUCCCCCCUGUGUGCUGGUGUGCUCCUUUGUCCGCACCCCUCGUCCGAUCCGACUACAUGGCACAACGUUCUACCGUCGCAAAUCGUUCAUGGAGCUACCCUCGAAAGACCAAAGGUACAAUUGAUAAUUUACAUACCGCUGAACCGUACAUAAGCUUUGACAAAGUACCUAUUUCAUUCAAAAAUUAUCUUGAAUUCAUUCAGAAGUUACUUGCAUUGAUAUAGAGAAAUUGUACAACAUCAUCACAAAUCUGUACUCGACAACUACAUGCAGUCCAGCAUAACCAAAUCUUGCACAUAUGUUCUUCACUCAAAAUUGUGUUUAUUUGUAUGAUAUUCUGAACUAAAUUUAAGUAUUUCUCUGUAUGGAAGGAUCAUAUUAUCCUGUAAGAACAUUUUAGACCCUAUUUCUUGUGGUCAGCUGCUUCAUAAUGUAAGAUGUCUUAUGUUAGAAAUAAUUUAUGUAGCUUGAACAGCUGUAAGUGGUCCGUGUAUUACCCAAAUGAAGCUUACAGUACAAUUAUCGCUGCACCGUCGAAUGGAUGUUUCUCUCGUUGGAGCUUCGAUGGCUGAAGAGACGUGAAGAGCUAUUUGAUUCUGGACAAAUCUGUGACCGUGAAUUUCCACCGGCAGGAUCGUCAGAAGUACCUAGUAAUCUGGAAAAUCAUUUAUUAAGUCAGAUGUACCUACUAAUCUGGAAAAUCAUUUAUUAAGUCAGAUGUACCUACUAAUCUGGAAAAUCAUUCAUUAAGUCGCAAUUUGAACAGUUAUGCUACUGUUGUAGCUUAAACAUUACAUCGAUUUGGUUCAUUGGUUUGUACAUAAUUUUUUAUUUUUUAUUUUGUGGACCUUGUUUCACAAUUUAUGGCACAGCUGUUGGUUUUAUUUAUUAGAUGAUAGUUGAUUUGGACA